GAUGAACGCUGGCGGCGUGCCUAAUACAUGCAAGUCGAGCGAACAGAUGAGGAGCUUGCUCCUCUGAUGUUAGCGGCGGACGGGUGAGUAACACGUGGAUAACCUACAUAUAAGACUGGGAUAACUUCGGGAAACCGGAGCUAAUACCGGAUAAUAUAUUGAACCGCAUGGUUGAAUAGUGAAAGACGGUUUUGCUGUCACUUAUAGAUGGAUCCGCGCCGCAUUAGCUAGUUGGUAAGGUAACGGAUUACCAAGGCAACGAUGCGUAGCCGACCUGAGGGGGUGAUUGGCCACACUGGAACUGAGACACGGUCCAGACUCCUACGGGAGGCAGCAGUAGGGAAUCUUCCGCAAUGGGCGAAAGCCUGACGGAGCAACGCCGCGUGAGUGAUGAAGGUCUUCGGUUCGUAAAACUCUGUUAUUAGGGAAGAACAAAUGUGUAAGUAACUAUGCACGUCUUGACGGUACCUAAUCAGAAAGCCACGGCUAACUACGUG
rnacentral:rRNA from 1 species